rnacentral:rRNA from 1 species
AAACUUUCAACAACGGAUCUCUUGGCUCUCGCAUCGAUGAAGAACGCCA